rnacentral:rRNA from 1 species
CUGAGAGGGAAAAGAGGGGAUCUGCAAGGACCUUUCGCUUUCGGAGUGGCCGAUAUCGGAUUAGCUAGUAGGUGAGGUAAAGGCUCACCUAGGCGACGAUCCGUAGCGGGUCUGAGAGGACGACCAGCCACACUGGAACUGAGACACGGUCCAGACUCCUACGGGAGGCAGCAGUGGGGAAUUUUGGACAAUGGGCGCAAGCCUGAUCCAGCCAUACCGCGUGAGUGAAGAAGGCCUUCGGGUUGUAAAGCUCUUUCAGCCGGAAAGAAAUCGCGUUUAUUAAUACUAGACGUGGAUGACGGUACCGGAAGAAGAAGCACCGGCUAACUACGUGCCAGCAGCCGCGGUAAUACGUAGGGUGCGAGCGUUAAUCGGAAUUACUGGGCGUAAAGCGUGCGCAGGCCGUUUUUUAAGACAGAUGUGAAAUCCCCGGGCUUAACCUGGGAACUGCAUUUGUGACUGGAAGACUAGAGUGUAGCAGAGGGGGGUAGAAUUCCACGUGUAGCAGUGAAAUGCGUAGAGAUGUGGAGGAAUACCGAUGGCGAAGGCAGCCCCCUGGGCUAACACUGACGCUCAUGCACGAAAGCGUGGGGAGCAAACAGGAUUAGAUACCCUGGUAGUCCACGCCCUAAACGAUGUCAACUAGGUGUUGGGGAAGGAGACUUCUUUAGUACCGCAGCUAACGCGUGAAGUGACC